rnacentral:rRNA from 1 species
UACGAGGGGUCCUAGCGUUGUUCGGAAUCAUUGGGCGUAAAGCGUCUGUAGGCGGCUUUGUAAGUCAGGUGUGAAAGCCCCGGGCUCAACCCGGGAAGUGCAUUUGAUACUGCAUAGCUUGAAUGUUGGAGAGGAUAGUAGAAUUCCAGGUGUAGUGGUGAAAUACGUAGAUAUCUGGAGGAAUACCGGUGGCGAAGGCGGCUAUCUGGCCAAACAUUGACGCUGAGGAGCGAAAGCGUGGGGAGCGAACAGG